UGACAGUACUCCUACGGGGAGGCAGCAGUGGGGGAAUAUUGCACAAUGGGCGCAAGCCUGAUGCAGCCAUGCCGCGUGUGUGAAGAAGGCCUUCGGGUUGUAAAGCACUUUCAGUCGUGAGGAAGGUAGUGUAGUUAAUAGCUGCAUUAGUUUGACGUUAGCGACAGAAGAAGCACCGGCUAACUCCGUGCCAGCAGCCGCGGUAAUACGGAGGGGUGCGAGCGUUAAUCGGAAUUACUGGGCGUAAAGCGCAUGCAGGUGGUUUGUUAAGUCAGAUGUGAAAGCCCGGGGCUCAACCUCGGAAUAGCAUUUGAAACUGGCAGACUAGAGUACUGUAGAGGGGGGUAGGAAUUUCAGGUGUAGCGGUGAAAUGCGUAGAGAUCUGAAGGAAUACCGGUGGCGAAGGCGGCCCCCUGGACAGAUACUGACACUCAGAUGCGAAAGCGUGGGGAGCAAACAGGAUUAGAUACCCUGGUAG
rnacentral:rRNA from 1 species